UUUUUGCCUGGACUCUUUUUUUUUUUGUCCAGCGGGUCUAUUUAUGCGAAGUAUUUUUUGACUACAUCUGAGUUAACAGGAGACGGAAAAUCUUCACCAUCCAUAGUUGUAAGCAUCAAGGCUCCACCGGAGAAUACCUUUUUCACAACAUAUGGACCUUCAUAAUUAGGAGUCCACUUGCCCCUGUUAUCUGUACCGGGAGGG
rnacentral:lncRNA from 1 species